rnacentral:lncRNA from 1 species
GCCUACUGAUGUUUUGAUCCAGGACAUGACGACGUGAUUCCUCUUCCUUCACUUUAUAUAUUCUAGAUUUGGAGUACCCUCUGCAGUCGUCUCCGCCGAAAUUGCCUCCGAUAUCCGUCAGAUCGAUAUCAUAGAUGUCCAAGAGAUUUUCAAAUUGUGACUUCCAGAAAAGAUAGGUAUCACUGAGCUUCAGAAGUUGCCUGAUACAUUUGGCAACACCCAAGAUGUUA